rnacentral:tRNA from 1 species
GGAUGUAGCUCAGUGGCACAGCACAUGCCUGGCAAGCUUGAGGUCCUGAGUUUGAUUCCCAGCACCA